CUGUGUGUGUGUGUAGAAGCAUUAAUUCAAUUUACAUUAUUCUAAUGGGAAAAUGAUUGGGUUUUCGAACAAAUCGCUUCUCGAACAGCCUUCUGGAAUGAAUUAAGUCGGAGAAAUGAAGUCCCA